rnacentral:rRNA from 1 species
GCGAACGCUGGCGGCAGGCUUAACACAUGCAAGUCGAACGCUCACCUUCGGGUGGGAGUGGCAGACGGGUGAGUAACACGUGGGAACGUACCCUUUGGUUCGGAAUAACUCAGGGAAACUUGAGCUAAUACCGGAUACGCCCUUUUGGGGAAAGGUUUACUGCCGAAGGAUCGGCCCGCGUCUGAUUAGCUAGUUGGUGGGGUAACGGCCUACCAAGGCGACGAUCAGUAGCUGGUCUGAGAGGAUGAUCAGCCACACUGGGACUGAGACACGGCCCAGACUCCUACGGGAGGCAGCAGUGGGGAAUAUUGGACAAUGGGCGCAAGCCUGAUCCAGCCAUGCCGCGUGAGUGAUGAAGGCCUUAGGGUUGUAAAGCUCUUUUGUCCGGGACGAUAAUGACGGUACCGGAAGAAUAAGCCCCGGCUAACUUCGU